UACGUAGGGUGCGAGCGUUAAUCGGAAUUACUGGGCGUAAAGCGUGCGCAGGCGGUUCGUUGUGUCGGCGGUGAAAGCCCCGGGCUUAACCUGGGAAUGGCCGUUGAAACUGGCGAACUGGAGUGUGGCAGAGGGGGGUGGAAUUCCGCGUGUAGCAGUGAAAUGCGUAGAGAUGCAGAGGAACACCGAUGGCGAAGGCAGCCCCCUGGGCUAACACUGACGCUCAGGCACGAAAGCGUGGGGAGCAAACAGG
rnacentral:rRNA from 1 species